CAGCCUGAAUCGCGCGGGCCCUGCAGGGAAACUCGCAGCGCGCCAAAGCUGCCCGAACGCCUGCAGUCCGCUUUUUGCUCGCUUGUUCGCCCGCCAGCAGCACCAGCAGCAGCCCGCGGCUCGGGGCUUGUUUAUAGAAGAUCACAAAAGGCGAGUACAUGACUCCUGGACACUGCAACUGUCAGUUGUCAAGCAUUCAAAUGUAUAUCCAUGUAGCCAUGUGGAUGCUACAACAGUUGUGCCCAGAAUAUUCUGCAUGAAGUCCACAAGAUGGUUCUGAGGCUUAUCUGAAAAAGGGUCACUUACAUUUUAUCACCAUGAUGUAACCCCAAAUGUCUGCUUUUACAUGUGCUCGGUCAGAUUUGCUCUUCAUUUUCCUCCAAUUCUAGGCAUGUCUUCUGAUGUUUCAUCUCUUAGAAGUCCUCAGAAAAUCAAUGAACCUCCCAGAGAUCAGUGUUCAGUAAAAGGCCCCACUGAAGCUCUCGUCACCUGUCCAUUCCAGGUAGAAAUUAAGGCCUCAGAUGAAGAACUGGCCUGAUCAUAGAAUUAUGGGAAGGGACCUUGGAGGUCUUCAGGUCCAACCCUCUGCCCAAGGCAGAAGUCCUUAUACUACCCAGGACAAAUGGUUAUCCAAUCUUUUCUUGAAAACCUACAGUGAUGCAACAUUCACAGUUCCAUAAGGCAAGCUUUUCCAUUGAUUAAUUGUUCUUAUUGUCAGGAAAUUCCUCCUUGUUUCCAGGUUGAAUCUUACUCUUAUCCUCAGGGGAAAAAAACCCUAUAAAAAUCUUCUGGGCCCAUUAGCAGGGGUGAAAUCCAGCAGGUUCUGACAGGUUCUGGAGAACCAGUAGCGGAAAUUUUGAGUAGUUCGAAGAACCGGCAAAUACCACCUCUGGCUGGCCCCAGGGUGGGGUGGGAAUGGAGAUUUUGCAGUAUCCUUCCCCUGGAGUGGGGUGGGAAUGGAGAUUUUGCAGUAUCCUUCCCCUGCCAUGCCUACCAAGUACCGGUAGUAAAAAAAAAAUUGGAUUUCACCCCUGCCCAUUAGGUACCUAGAAUGGUCCCAUUUAUUAGGUUCUGACUGUGAGGAGAAGUAGCACCAGUAACUCAAAUGGUGAUCAGAGAAAAUCUGACCAUGAAAGCAAUCUGAUGAUAAUGUCCUACACCUUCAGAUAACAUCACAAUUGCCCUGAGCAAACGAAAACAAAAACAGAUCUAAUGUGUGACCUCCGGCAUGUGUCAGGCCCUCAAUAAUUGGGCACAGUUGAUGGUUGUUGUGAUCUUUUGACCUUCCCUGGACUCCGCUUCACCUGGGGCAAGUUAAAAUCUCCAAGGUCCAUCAGCUCUGGGGAGUCCACUGUCAGCUCAGCAAGACUUACAACUUAAAAUUUACAACUCCGUUGACUUCAACAUGACCUGUGUUUAACACACAAAAUCAUCUAUUGCAAUAGCCUUCCUGUAAAUGACUACUUCAGCUUCAAUCGCAAUAUUACAAGAGCAAAAAAUAGAUUCAAGCUUAAUGUCAACCGCUUCAAACUUCAUUGCAGAAAAUAUGACUUCUGUAACAGAGUUGUUAACGCUUGGAACUCAUUACCUGACUCCAUAGUCUCUACUCAAAAUCCCAAAAACUUCAACCAAAAACUUUCUACUAUUGACCUCACCCCAUUCCUAAGAGGACUAUAAGGGGCGUGCAUAAGAGCACAAAAGUGCCUACCGUUCCUGUCCUAUUGUUCCCUUCAUUAUAUCAAAUUAAUAUAGCUGAUGCGUAUUUUUUUAUUUAUAUAUAUAUAUAUUUUCUUCAUGAUAUAUAGAAUAGAAUAGAAUUUUUAUUGGCCAAGUGUGAUUGGACACACAAGGAAUUUGUCUUGGUGCAUAUGCUCUCAGUGUACAUAAAAGAAAAGAUACGUUCAUCAAGGUACAACAUUUACAACACAAUUGAUGGUCAAUAUAUCAAUAUAAAUCAUAAGGAUUGCCAGAUAAAAUAUUGUCAAAUAAAAUAUUGUUUUAUUUAUGACAAUGUUUGUGUAUACUGUUGUGACAAAAUGAAAUAAAAAAAAAAAGAUUCCAGCAGCUCAAGCAGGGAAUUCGCUGUGCAGCAGGGAAGCCAAAAGCAGCAACUGUUCCCUGGAGCCUAAACUUCAUCCAUUUAGGUCUCACGCCCAGUUUCCUAUGGCACAAAGCCUCUGAAGCCAUCAAGGCCUGCCAGGUGUGCCACCUCUCCUUCCCUGCCCCAGAAUUACACGCUCAUACCAAACAUAAGUCAGCCUCAAGUUCACCACCACCCAGAGGUGGUGUUCAGCAGGUUCUGACCAGUUCUGGAAAAAGGGUGGCGGAAAUUUUGAGUAGUUCUGGAAACCCAGCAAAUAUCACCUCUGACUGGCCCCACCGCCAUCUAUUCUCUGCCUCCCACCGAGUCCCAGCUGAUCAAGAGGAAAUGGGGAUUUUGCAGUAACCUUCCCCUGGAGUGGGGUGGGAAUGGAGAUUUUACAGUAUCCUUCCACUGCCACGCCCACCAAGCCAUGCCACGCCCACCAUGCCACGCCCACAGAACCGGUAGUAAAAAAAAGUUGAAUCCCACUGCUGCCACCACCCCAGCUUAAUUUGGUUCACUGGGAUGUCCCUGGGAGAGUAAAAUGAGGGGGACCCUUGAGCUUCUAUACAAAAGACAGAAUAUAAAUGUGAUAAAUAAAAUUUACAUCGAAUAACACCAUGAAAGUUGGAAGCCUAUGUGAAGUGAAACAUGUUCCUUAUGCAACAGUUGAAACUGAUAGGAGGAAAACCAUAGAGUACUAGUCUAGGAUAGCCAAAAGGUCUAGUCUGGUAGGACUUCUUCAGACUAGCACAUUGUAUUAAAAGGCAUAAGGUUUCACAAUGAAAAGCCAGUGCCUUUUAACAAAAUGUGCUUGUUUAUCAAAGUGCUCUCAGCCUCUCCUGAGUUUUGAACUAUAUAUAGUUUCUCAUUCAAACUGCUGGCUGGUUUGCUGUUUCACAGGGCUUAAGUGGUUGCUAAUUCUUAAUUCCCAAAGCAAACACUGACUCAAUAAACACAGCAUAUUAUUUAUUAGACAGCCUACCUCAAUGUGUCUGAUCUUUGCUCCUUGCUGACCAUUGUAAAGAGUACAAGUCUAUUGUGCAAGGAAUUAUUACUUGCUUCUAGGAAGCUGUUGCAUUUUCUAUCCUGUCUCUUUCUUAUAUAAAUAUACUAUAUUGUGCUAUAUAUAAAACAUGAUGGAAAUUUGCUGCUGUACUAACAGCUUUGAUUCACAGCACCUCUUAAAAACUGGAUUUGUGAUACUGUGAAAUCAUGGAUAGUCAUCACAUUUCUAAUAAUUUUCAACAAGCUGCUAUUCAGUUCAGGGCAUUUAUUUGCAGUUUUGAAAAUAUUAUUCUUUCUGGCUCCCCAAUCUGAGAAAUUGUGCAUAUUCAUCACAUCUAAUCAUUUUUUUAAAAAAGAUUACUCAGUUUCAGACACUUACAGUGAGGCAAAGUGUAAUUCCUUUUGUCCCCAGACUGAAAAAUUAUGGCUAUUUGUCAUGUUACAAAACUUAAAAAAAAACUUUCACAAAAGAUUUUAUAAGGUGUAAAAUUGUCCGGUUUUUUUCUCUCCUGGAAGCCGGGAAUCAUAGACUCAUCUUUUUUUUAGCCACAGUUGUGGCUAAAAUUUAGUAUUUUUUUUUUCUUGAGAGUUAUACAAUUGAAACUAUAACGGAAGAUAAUAUGGAUGCUAAAGCACAUCGGUUUAGAUGUUAUUGCAUACUAGUUAAUAUUUACAUGAAAAUUAAAAUUUUGUGUAAAAGAUAGGAGUAAAUAAUAUGAAAUAAAGAAAAUGGAAUGUAAUAAUUAGGAAUAUGUAUAUAUUGAAAUGUAUGAUACACAAACAUCGCACCAUUCAACACAAUGAUAUGUAUAAUUUUUUUAAAAAAUAAUAAAAGCUUGAUAAAAAAAACAACUGGGGCAAGAAAGGUCGUAAAACGGGGAAAAUCUCACUUAAAUGUCUUGCUUUGCAACAUAAAUUUUGGGCUCCUUUCUGGUUAUAAGUUGAGGACUGCCUAUAACAUAUACAACUCCAUUCCAGGGUUGCCUCUUUCCAAUUGUAUUGACAAUACUCUAUUCUCAUAAUGUGUAUGUGUGUGUGUCAGCGGUGAAAUCUACUUACUUUCCCUACCAGUUUGAAAGUGCACGCACUGUGGGCGUCAUGUGCACGCAGGGACCCUCUGCGCAUGCGCAAACACUUUGCGCAUGUGCAGAGGGUAAAAAACAGGUAACUUCCUGUUUAAAACCUGAAAGUAACACCGACCAGUCAGGUGGGCGAAGCCUCGCGCUGCCAUCACUAUUGGUUCUUCGAACCACCUGCCACCAUUGCUACUGGUUCAGUCGAACCGGUCUGAACUGGUAGCAUUUCACCCAUGGUGUGUGUGUGUGUAUGUGUGUGAAAGAUAGCUUGGUUGCUGUGGACAGGAGAGGCCUUCCAAGCAGGAAAAUAAAACAGUCAUUAAAAGGAUUAGGGAGUUCCUUUUGGUAGCAACUGGAAAGAGCCCUUGUCCCACAAUCAAUCCUAGCUUAAACCUUCCAACAGGAACAUCCAAGUUUUCCUUCCAUGUUGCCAACAUCGGCAAGGGCCAAGGACACUUCAGAAUUCUUACAUAUUGGAAAAAAGAACCCAAACAUUAAGUACAUACUUGAUGGACACUACCUUACAGAUGACCCCCACCCUGUUAAAGACCUUGGAGAUUUCAUAUCAAAUGAUCUAAGUGCCAAAGCCCACUGCAACUACAUAGCAAAAAAGGCUCUAAGAGUUGUAAAUCUAAUCUUGCGUACUUUCUUUUCCAAAAACACUACA